CUUUUAUCUUCUCUAGAAAUCUGCUUCUCAAUGAUUCUGGCAACUAAAUAUAGAUACUGCAUCAAAAAGAUGUUGCUCUCCAAGAGGCAGAAAGAGUCCAGUUAUACAAGUCUAAUCAAUGCAUGGUUCUUGGGAUUCUUUAAACAAACAUCCUCUGGAAAUAUAAUGCAGUACCCAAAACGAGCAGCCAUACAUGACAUUGGAGCUAUUUGACACGAAAUUCAUGCCUGAAAACAGUCAGAUUCUGAGUAAACCUGUCCCUGUUUUUUGAAUCCAAGCUUCGAGUAACAUCAGCCAUCAGUUUGUCAAAACAAAGGGAAAGCCGCUGAUGUUGAUCAACGGGCUGUGAAGCUAAAAUCUGAGCCUUCAAAUCAGAGAAUAUCUGCUCACUAAUAAGAAUUAAGCUCAGCAUAGGUCUACUGAGACUCCACUGGUUGCCACAAUCCUCAAAUAAAACAAUCUCAAACAGGGUCUUCAGUAUUUCUGGAAAUAAAUUAGGGCAGUCUGCAAUAUGUCUAGCAAGAUUAAUUGCAGCAGGUGAAGUGGGUGCCUCCCCCAUUGUGAUGUUGUUAAAAUAGAAAGCAGCCAAAUUAUCAACAGCAGAUGCACACUGCGAUGAGAUAUUUGUAUCCAAACCUUUAAGACCAGAUUCUAGAGAGCCAACAAUAUGCAUGAAGGUGUUUGUGUCCAGAUU
rnacentral:misc_RNA from 1 species